ACGAGAACAGGGGGCCCAUUCUUGAGGCAAUCUGCAAGCCUGAGUUUUAAUGAGGAAUCUCCGGAUUCUUAAAUAUCUGCAGUUGGUUUAAAACUUUUACCAACGCUGGUGGACCAAAUAAAUCUGUAAGCGAGGGAGGCCUGUGGGCCAGCAGCUAGUGACCUCUGACGUUUUGGUUUGGUUUGCCUGCUUCUCUGCUGCUUCAACGCUGCCUCCAUUUAGUCCUCUUGGCCUAUCGGAUUCUUGGGGUCAGCUGCUCCACUCUGCUUUUUCUCCAAGCUCAGCCCCCUAGAGCCCAGUCUUUGAUGGAUCUCAGCUAAACUGAAGGAACAGACUUGCCACUACCACCAGUUCCUAGCAGCCUCCAGAGGCUAUUUGGCCUUCCUGGGUGGAGGCCUGGCCCACCCACAACCUAACUCUAUCCCUUGCCCUUCUUCCCCAGGUCUCCGAUGAUGACCUCGACCCAUCCUUUACUGUCUCAACCAGCAAAGCCUCGGGCCCCCACGGCGCCUUCAAUGGGAACUGUGAAGCAAAACUCUCCGUGGUCCCUAAAG
rnacentral:lncRNA from 10 species